GAUGAAGAACGCAGCGAAAUGCGAUAAGUAAUGCGAAUUGCAGAAUUUCCGUGAGUCAUCGAAUCUUUGAACGCACAUUGCGCCCGCUAGUAUUCUGGCGGGCAUGCCUGUCCGAGCGUCAUUUCAACCCUCAAGCCCCCGGGCUUGGUGUUGGGGAUCGGCGAGCCUCCGCGCCCGCCGUCCCCUAAAUCUAGUGGCGGUCUCGCUGUAGCUUCCUCUGCGUAGUAGCACACCUCGCACUGGGAAACAGCGCGGCCACGCCGUUAAACCCCCAACUUCUGAACGUUUGACCUCGGAUCAGGUAGGAAUACCCGCUGAACUUAAGCAUAUCAAUAAGCGGAGGA
rnacentral:misc_RNA from 1 species